rnacentral:rRNA from 1 species
AACGAACGCUGGCGGCAUGCCUAACACAUGCAAGUCGAACGAGACCUUCGGGUCUAGUGGCGCACGGGUGCGUAACGCGUGGGAACCUGCCCUUAGGUUCGGAAUAACUCCCCGAAAGGGGUGCUAAUACCGGAUAAUGUCUUCGGACCAAAGAUUUAUCGCCUUUGGAUGGGCCCGCGUUGGAUUAGCUAGUUGGUAGGGUAAAAGCCUACCAAGGCGACGAUCCAUAGCUGGUCUGAGAGGAUGAUCACCCACACUGGGACUGAGACACGGCCCAGACUCCUACGGGAGGCAGCAGUGGGGAAUAUUGGACAAUGGGCGAAAGCCUGAUCCAGCAAUGCCGCGUGAGUGAUGAAGGCCUUAGGGUUGUAAAGCUCUUUUACCCGGGAUGAGAAUGACAGUACCGGGAGAAUAAGCUCCGGCUAACUCCGUG